GAGGAAGAGAAUGGGAGAAGACGCAGCGCGCCUGCGCAGUCGACGUCGGGCAGCGGCCGUCGGAGGACGCAAGCGGUCGCAAAGUGAAGACUGCAGACUACAUAGCGUUUCAAAGUACUCAAUUGGUCACACACCACGGAAUCAACGAGAGAUCUUCCACAACAUGAGAUGCUAUUACGAUAUGUGACCACAUGCAGCAGAGAAACUUCGUGCAGUCCUACACAUUCAGGAACCUCACACUGCUGCACCCUUUGUGCGGCGUCUAAUACAGACGCGGCCCCCGCACUUCUUUCCACGACACCGGCCGAAGAGUCGAGCGGAGCUGCGCUGCAGAGGCGGUAGCCGAGUAAUCCGGGCCGGGAAAGCUGCUGACCUCGGAGCCACUGGUAUGCAAACUGACAGUGCGGCCAUUACACCGGCUGCUCCGGGCGCCGUGUCUUCGGCGUCGCUGAUGGCAGGAGAGGUCGUAAACGCUGCUAGCGUACUUGGCGCACCUGUCGCGGAAAAGGUGUUUGCUAUUUGCUGUGACCAAACUCUAAAAGCCAAAGUUUACAGCGUGGUACAGUCAAGGAAGAAGGCGCAUCGGCACGACACUGAAAUUCAGUGUCCGUUGUUGUCAUUAACACAUUCCGGAUUCCUCAGCCCUCACUGAUCUUCCUAUGAGGCCAUAAUCAGCUCACUGACUCACUGCCAUACAAAAUUUGCCGCAGUUCUCUAUCUCAACGAAGGAAGAUGCUACCGACCAGUUCUUGACUAUUUUUAGCUGCCCGUUAUUCUUAUCGAAUCAUAUGCAAUGACUUGCAUAACGAAAAAUUCGUCUUUCGUUUCUCCCUACAUACGUUUCCCUGUUAAAUUCAACUGCAAUAAUUUUUUUGCCUUCUACCACUCGCUCCAAAUUGUUUUUCCAUUA